UGAGAAAAGCAGAAGUGAGAACUUCUCGCCUUGUGACGCAAGUUGCCUGGCCCCUACGGAUCAAGUUUCAGUAAUGAAAUACAUCAUGUAGUUCGGGCCUGUAUUGCAGGUCCGUUCUUUGUUUUUCUC
rfam:Streptococcus sp. HSISM1 chromosome, whole genome shotgun sequence.